GUUGUUUCCUCAGAGGGCUGGCAGGGGUUCCAGCUGAGAGUGGUUAGACCCACGAAGCCACCUCCUUGCAAAAUCCAGGCAAGGAGGGACAGUGAAUUGGGCAGCGUAGACCUCUAGGAAACACCUAGUUCUAGACAGAAAUGAUGUAAACAGUUGUGGGAGCUCUGUGGGCUGCAGGAAGGGACCUGUCAUCCAUCACUCCUGCCUAGUUCAAUUAUUCAUUCAUUCAACAAACACAUUUGGAACUUCCGUGAUGGGUCCUCAUUAUGCUAGGCACUUGGAUAAGAGAUGGUGCCUUUUUCUCUUAAGGAGCUCGUUGUGGGGGAGGGAGUGGAGAGCCAGAUACUCCAACAGGUAAAUCCAACACAAUGCAGCACUCUCCAGCUAUGGGACCCUAAAACUUUACAUACCUUCUCUGAACGCAUCCACUGGGGGUCCUGGAACGUAUCCCCUGCACAUAAGGGGGGCCUACUGCACAAAAACCCCCUGAGUACCUACUGUGGGCUGCACAUGGUCCUGGACACGAGGAGUACACAAACUCAACUCAGAUCGGGUUACAUCACUGACCUGCCCACGCCCCAUCACGUGUCAAGAGAAAGGCCUCCUCGCUGGAACCCAAGCCACCUUCUCAAGCGUGUUUCCCUCAUCUGCACAUAUCAGAUCCCCCGUGCAAUGGACUAUGUGCCAUUCUUCAAACACACAGCCUGGGUCCUCGGCUUUCCUUCACUCAUAUUGUAUUCCCUCCACUGCAAUGCCCUCUCUACUUGAUCCCCUCAUCCGUCUUCCCUUCCUUCUAUUAUGAUUCCCAAGGCCACCUCUUCUUCAGUCAUGCUUGUGUUCGUCCCCUAAAAUUCAACUGAUUUUUCAUUCCUUUGAACUUCUGUUUGUUCCUAAGGCAAGAGUGGGGGCCAAGAUUCAAACUCUGGUUUGUUGGGUUCUCCCACUUCCUACAUGUGUGCCUUGGGCGAAUCAUUAAGGAAGCUGAG
rnacentral:lncRNA from 1 species